UGGGUAACCUGCCUCAAAGAGGGGAAUAGCCUCCCGAAAGGGAGAUUAAUACCGCAUAAUAUGUUUAAGUCGCAUGACUUUAACAUCAAAGGAUUUUCUUUUAGAAAUUCCACUUUGAGAUGGACCCGCGGCGCAUUAGCUAGUUGGUGAGGUAACGGCUCACCAAGGCAACGAUGCGUAGCCGACCUGAGGAGGGUNAGUCCGGCCAACUAGUUAGGGAACUGGAAGACGUACGGUCCAGACCUUCCCGUAAGGGACGG
rnacentral:rRNA from 1 species